rnacentral:sRNA from 1 species
CCCUAGCCCAGAUUGCAGCGGCAUCCUUUUUCUGAAUUGGCUUUGAAAGGCGUUGGCGAAAAAGAUAUAGCGGAAAGCUGGAAAUAGC